rnacentral:lncRNA from 1 species
GAAGCCGAGAGAGAGAAAAGAGAGAGGAAAGAAGAGAGGUCGAAAAGGAAGAGAGGAAGGAAAAAGAAAAGAGAGAAACGGGAAGAGAAAGAGGGUGGCCGAAUGGGAAAGGAUAGCCAAGAAUGGCCGUCAUAAGGGGAAGAAGAGAAGAGAGAGAGUGGCGGAGGUGGCGAAUUGUGGCAUUUGAAGCCGAAAGGAAGAAGAAGGGAAGGAAAACGACUGAGAUGUCAUGCGAAGG